rnacentral:rRNA from 1 species
GACAGAGGGUGCAAACGUUGUUCGGAAUUACUGGGCGUAAAGCGCGUGUAGGCGGCUCGGCAAGUCGGGUGUGAAAGCCCUGGGCUUAACCUAGGAAGUGCACUCGAAACUGCCAAGCUUGAGUUCUGGAGAGGAAGGCGGAAUUCUCGGCGUAGAGGUGAAAUUCGUAGAUAUCGAGAGGAACACCGGUGGCGAAGGCGGCCUUCUGGACAGCAACUGACGCUGAGACGCGAAAGCGUGGGGAGCAAACAGG